AGUGAACGCUGGCGGUAGGCCUAACACAUGCAAGUCGAACGGCAGCACAGUAAGAGCUUGCUCUUACGGGUGGCGAGUGGCGGACGGGUGAGGAAUACAUCGGAAUCUACUUUUUCGUGGGGGAUAACGUAGGGAAACUUACGCUAAUACCGCAUACGACCUACGGGUGAAAGCAGGGGAUCUUCGGACCUUGCGCGAUUGAAUGAGCCGAUGUCGGAUUAGCUAGUGGGCGGGGUAAAGGCCCACCCAGGCGACGAUCCGUAGCUGGUCUGGGAGGAUGGUCAGCCACCCUGGAACUGAGACACGGUCCAGGCUCCUACGGGAGGCAGCAGUGGGGAAUAUUGGACAGUGGGCGCAAGCAUGAUCCAGCCAUCCCGCGUGGGUGAAGAAGGCCUUCGGGUUGUAAAGCCCUCUUGUUGGGAAAGAAAAGCAGCAGGUUAAUACCCCGCUGUUCUGACGGUACCCAAAGAAUAAGCACCGGCUAACUUCGUG
rnacentral:rRNA from 1 species